rnacentral:rRNA from 1 species
GAUGAACGCUGGCGGCGUGCCUAAUACAUGCAAGUCGAGCGAACAGAUGAGGAGCUUGCUCCUCUGACGUUAGCGGCGGACGGGUGAGUAACACGUGGAUAACCUACCUAUAAGACUGGGAUAACUUCGGGAAACCGGAGCUAAUACCGGAUAAUAUAUUGAACCGCAUGGUUCAAUAGUGAAAGACGGUUUUGCUGUCACUUAUAGAUGGAUCCGCGCCGCAUUAGCUAGUUGGUAAGGUAACGGCUUACCAAGGCAACGAUGCGUAGCCGACCUGAGAGGGGGAUAGGCCACACUGGAACUGAGACACGGUCCAGACUCCUACGGGAGGCAGCAGUAGGGAAUCUUCCGCAAUGGGCGAAAGCCUGACGGAGCAACGCCGCGUGAGUGAUGAAGGUCUUCGGAUCGUAAAACUCGGUUAUUAGGGAAGAACAAAUGUGUAAGUAACUAUGCACGUCUUGACGGUACCUAAUCAGAAAGCCACGGCUAACUACGUG